AAAGUCAAAUAGUACGUGAAAUUGUUGAAAGGGAAACGAUUGAAGUCAGUCGUACCCGCGGGAAAUCAGCUUUUCGAGGGAGAUCUUCUGGGCGUUUGGGAGCCUAACGGUCUCUACGUUUUCAAGUUUUUUCUCUUUUUGCGCAUUUUCUUGUGCGGUAGGUUAACGUCAAUUUCGGACGUCAUAAAAUGACCGGAGGAAUGUGGCUUCGAUUUUUCGAAGUGUUAUAGACUCUGGUAGACAUGACGAACGGGAUUGAGGAUUGCAACGAAUGCCUAAACCGCCUGAUCUCUAAUCGUUGCCUUGGUGCCGAAAGCGUGCUUACGGUUAUUGAGGUUGACGGUUAAAAGGUUAGAACGGAUUAAAUUCGUUAAGGACGUUGACGUAAUGGCUUUAAACGA
rnacentral:misc_RNA from 1 species